UGUGAGCUCGAUGAGUAGGGCGGGACACGUGGUAUCCUGUCUGAAUAUGGGGGGACCAUCCUCCAAGGCUAAAUACUCCUGACUGACCGAUAGUGAACCAGUACCGUGAGGGAAAGGCGAAAAGAACCCCGGCGAGGGGAGUGAAAAAGAACCUGAAACCGUGUACGUACAAGCAGUGGGAGCACGCUUAGGCGUGUGACUGCGUACCUUUUGUAUAAUGGGUCAGCGACUUAUAUUCUGUAGCAAGGUUAACCGAAUAGGGGAGCCGAAGGGAAACCGAGUCUUAACUGGGCGUUAAGUUGCAGGGUAUAGACCCGAAACCCGGUGAUCUAGCCAUGGGCAGGUUGAAGGUUGGGUAACACUAACUGGAGGACCGAACCGACUAAUGUUGAAAAAUUAGCGGAUGACUUGUGGCUGGGGGUGAAAGGCCAAUCAAACCGGGAGAUAGCUGGUUCUCCCCGAAAGCUAUUUAGGUAGCGCCUCGUGAAUUCAUCUCCGGGGGUAGAGCACUGUUUCGGCAAGGGGGUCAUCCCGACUUACCAACCCGAUGCAAACUGCGAAUACCGGAGAAUGUUAUCACGGGAGACACACGGCGGGUGCUAACGUCCGUCGUGAAGAGGGAAACAACCCAGACCGCCAGCUAAGGUCCCAAAGUCAUGGUUAAGUGGGAAACGAUGUGGGAAGGCCCAGACAGCCAGGAUGUUGGCUUAGAAGCAGCCAUCAUUUAAAGAAAGCGUAAUAGCUCACUGGUCGAGUCGGCCUGCGCGGAAGAUGUAACGGGGCUAAACCAUGCACCGAAGCUGCGGCAGCGACGCUUAUGCGUUGUUGGGUAGGGGAGCGUUCUGUAAGCCUGCGAAGGUGUGCUGUGAGGCAUGCUGGAGGUAUCAGAAGUGCGAAUGCUGACAUAAGUAACGAUAAAGCGGGUGAAAAGCCCGCUCGCCGGAAGACCAAGGGUUCCUGUCCAACGUUAAUCGGGGCAGGGUGAGUCGACCCCUAAGGCGAGGCCGAAAGGCGUAGUCGAUGGGAAACAGGUUAAUAUUCCUGUACUUGGUGUUACUGCGAAGGGGGGACGGAGAAGGCUAUGUUGGCCGGGCGACGGUUGUCCCGGUUUAAGCGUGUAGGCUGGUUUUCCAGGCAAAUCCGGAAAACUAAGGCUGAGGCGUGAUGACGAGGCACUACGGUGCUGAAGCAACAAAUGCCCUGCUUCCAGGAAAAGCCUCUAAGCAUCAGGUAACAUCAAAUCGUACCCCAAACCGACACAGGUGGUCAGGUAGAGAAUACCAAGGCGCUUGAGAGAACUCGGGUGAAGGAACUAGGCAAAAUGGUGCCGUAACUUCGGGAGAAGGCACGCUGAUAUGUAGGUGAAGUCCCUCGCGGAUGGAGCUGAAAUCAGUCGAAGAUACCAGCUGGCUGCAACUGUUUAUUAAAAACACAGCACUGUGCAAACACGAAAGUGGACGUAUACGGUGUGACGCCUGCCCGGUGCCGGAAGGUUAAUUGAUGGGGUUAGCGCAAGCGAAGCUCUUGAUCGAAGCCCCGGUAAACGGCGGCCGUAACUAUAACGGUCCUAAGGUAGCGAAAUUCCUUGUCGGGUAAGUUCCGACCUGCACGAAUGGCGUAAUGAUGGCCAGGCUGUCUCCACCCGAGACUCAGUGAAAUUGAACUCGCUGUGAAGAUGCAGUGUACCCGCGGCAAGACGGAAAGACCCCGUGAACCUUUACUAUAGCUUGACACUGAACAUUGAGCCUUGAUGUGUAGGAUAGGUGGGAGGCUUGGAAGUGUGGACGCCAGUCUGCAUGGAGCCGACCUUGAAAUACCACCCUUUAAUGUUUGAUGUUCUAACGUUGACCCGUAAUCCGGGUUGCGGACAGUGUCUGGUGGGUAGUUUGACUGGGGCGGUCUCCUCCUAAAGAGUAACGGAGGAGCACGAAGGUUGGCUAAUCCUGGUCGGACAUCAGGAGGUUAGUGCAAUGGCAUAAGCCAGCUUGACUGCGAGCGUGACGGCGCGAGCAGGUGCGAAAGCAGGUCAUAGUGAUCCGGUGGUUCUGAAUGGAAGGGCCAUCGCUCAACGGAUAAAAGGUACUCCGGGGAUAACAGGCUGAUACCGCCCAAGAGUUCAUAUCGACGGCGGUGUUUGGCACCUCGAUGUCGGCUCAUCACAUCCUGGGGCUGAAGUAGGUCCCAAGGGUAUGGCUGUUCGCCAUUUAAAGUGGUACGCGAGCUGGGUUUAGAACGUCGUGAGACAGUUCGGUCCCUAUCUGCCGUGGGCGCUGGAGAACUGAGGGGGGCUGCUCCUAGUACGAGAGGACCGGAGUGGACGCAUCACUGGUGUUCGGGUUGUCAUGCCAAUGGCACUGCCCGGUAGCUAAAUGCGGAAGAGAUAAGUGCUGAAAGCAUCUAAGCACGAAACUUGCCCCGAGAUGAGUUCUCCCUGACUCCUUGA
rnacentral:rRNA from 1 species